UCAGGGUUGAUUUCCUUUAGGCUUGACUGAUUUUACUCCUUGCAGUCCAAGGAAUUCUCAAGAGUCUUCUCCAGCACCACAAUUUUAAAUCAUUAAAAAAAAAAGGCUUUGUGCCAUUAUUUUCCAUGAGAUCUUGAGCAAAAAAUUCAUGUCUAACAUUCACCCAUACCCAACUUCCAGACAACACUUCUCAGCUCCCUUGCAGGUCUGUGAGCUCUGUGACUACGUCACAAUGGAACAUGAGCAGACUGUGUAUCUUCAUCAGACAUGAUUACCUGGUCUUUCUCUUGCCCCGCUUUGAGGACCAAAGGGCUGGCUUCAUGUUCCAGAUGAUGAAUGUACAAGAAGAUGGAGCCAUCAUCAUCCUGGAUCUUUGAGGACCACAUGGAAGACAGUUGCCCUGAAGAGUCUCUCAGGCCCCUUUUACUUUGUGUGGGAAACUGUAUCUCCAGCUUGGCUGCCACAUUCUCAACAAAGUGGACAGAGUCUAUGAUGGGACUGUCAAAGGAGUAAAGUCUUAGACCAGAGGAGCUGCCACGGAAAAGGCCCAGCUGACACAGGCUGACACAGGCCCCCUGGUAUCCCUGCCCAGGGGUGAUAGAUGGGACCGGGUACAACCAUGGGGCUUUGCUUGAAGAUGCCUUCUCCAAAGAUAUGUGGACACCCCUCCAGGUGCCCUCAGUACCUGAUUCACAGCCUCCCUGCCCUAAGCCCUCUCAGUCUGGAAAAAGCCCCAACACCACAUUCCUCACUUCCCUCUUCCAUCCCAAACUUUUUUGCUGACAUCCUGGUAAAGCAGUUCCAACUCAUCAAUGGGGCCACAGUGCAUACAAGCUCAGGGAUAUCUCACAAGUGACGGCACUUGACAGCUUAUAAAGUUCUUUGUGUCCGUUAUUUCAUCGAGUUCUCACAAAAAUCCUACAUCGCUGUUUAAGGAGAAGGGCACCCAGGUUCAGAGGAAGAGUCUAACUAAGGUAACAAAGAAUGGAAGCCAGGCCUGUCUGGUCACAACGCACAUGGCCACUAUUACCUCAUCAUGACCAGUUGCUUCCAGAGUCCACGGUGCCCUUCUUUGUGGCUGGGCAUAUGGCUUCUAGAAAGAAGACAUUUCCCAGCCCUUCCUGCAACUAGGUGUGGCCAUGUGACUGAGUUCUGGCCACGGAGGUGUAAGUGGUAGAGGUAAAUGCAACUUAUCAGAAGUGUCCUAAUGAUACAAAUGAACUUAUUUACAAAAUAGAUACAGACUCACAGACUUAGACAAUGAAUUUAUGGUUGCCAGUGGGGAAGGAUGCAGAAAAGGGACAAUUAGGGAGCUUGGAACUGACACUUCUAUAUUUAAAAUGGGUAACCAAUGAGGUCUACUGUAUAGCACAGGGAACUCUGCUCAAUCUUAUGUGGCAGCCUGAAUGGGAGGGGAGUUUGGGGAGAAUAGAUACAUACACAUGUAUGGCUGAGUCCCUUGCUGUCCACCUGGAACUCUCCCAACAUGGUUAAUCAGCUAUACUCCAAUACAAAAUAAAAAGCUAAAAAAAAGAAGUGUCCUUACAGGAAGGUGUGAUAU